UAGAGGCGAUGUCGUUUUUGCGUGAGGUCGAUUCCCGUUUUGUUGCUUUCCUGAAAUUAGUUUCUACUUUGUAAGCAGAAAAAAAGCGUAAAAAAGGAGGAACAAAGAGGGGAGCAGAAAGAUCGACGAGACAACGAUGGGGUAUGUAUUGAGGGUGAGAUUGGCUUCAUUCUUCACGGGGGCAGCAACAGCGUCCUUUCUGGGUCUCUACAUCUUGUACAAGGAUUACAAGGUCGCCCAUGAAUCCAUUGCCCAACGGGUGAAAAGGCUUCAUGAGCCCCUAGAUAGGCGAAUCUCUGCUCUGGAGAGUUUGAAACAAGGUGAAACUUCACAACAUGUGGAAGCAACAGAAUAGGUCCUUCGUGACAAAAAAAAAAAAAAAAAAAGAUUUUUCCUAAAUAUGCAAUUGGUUCCUCGGUAAUGUUUUUUUGUUUCUGCCCUCGUUAUAAAAGAGUAAUGGUGGUUGAACUAUUAUGUACUUUUGUAUGGAAUGAUGGUACACUCAGCCGGUUGACAUGAUUUACAUCAGUUAAUCUGUUUCUCAAUAAUGUAUGAAACGGUGAUUGCAUUUGAAAUUUAAGUCUAGGUGGAUUCAGAGACUCAUUGUAGUUCACUUUUCAGUCUUUGGUGAAUUGCUGCUUCAUAUCUUGCCGAUUA